ACCAGCCCUGAGAGCCUUCAGGUGGCUGCUGGGGAGAGGUGCCCGUCAGCUGGGGUGGCAGGCCAGCCAGGCAGAGGUGACAGCCCUGGCCCAAGUGGUACCUCCAGGAAGGAUGUGAGGGGCUGGCGGCACUGCGUGGUGAUGGAGGAAGCACCAUGUGCACCACCGUCCUGCUCCUCGGCACGCUGGUCAUGAUUCUGCGGCGCCACUUCUUCAACAAAGUUGAACCGCAUCCCGAGGGAGAGGAAGAGACCAGGAGAGAGGCUGGCUCAGACCCUCAUGCCACGUAGCACCACUUUGGAAUAAAAGUCAGCUUCACCGUACUCUGCAGCCAACACCCAGCACACCCAGCACAUCCCGGCCUCGGCACAUGCCGAAAGCCCCAGUAAAACAACCCACAAGACCAGCCUGCAUGCCGACGAACCCACAUCACCCCUGAUCCCCUCCCACAGGUCAGAGAGGACUAGGCACGGGGUUAAAUGCUGCUGCAGAAAAGAAAUUUGCCUGUCUUGAAGGCUGAGCCCUGGGGGGUGGCCAGCAGCCCCACAGCAAUGCCCUCUGCAAGCCACAAUGCAGCCUGCAGGCACGGGGCUAUCAGGCGUCCUGCUCUGGGCAGUGGGGUUUGCACAGGCGCUGCAGCUUUCCUGCCUAUAUAAAUACGUUAAUAAAAGAUCAGUUUGCAGACGCAGCUUGCUGUAGAUGACAGCAUUAGAGGCGCAUCUGUUUCUACUAAGCACCAGUCUCAUGCUGGGUUUAUUUGGUCUGUUUGUGGCGGGGAAGAGUUGCUUUCAGCAUUCAGAGAUGUCUCGUGUCUGGGAGAAGCGGGGGGGGGGGGGGGGGCGGGGGGGUGUGUGAAUAUAUUUUUGGCUCUAUUUAGCCACAAACAUUCGGGUGUAGAAUAAAGAAAAAUAUUCCUGUUUUCUGUUUGCUGCCAAACUGAGGCAGAUGAUUUCUUGUGCAAGCCUUCAUUUGUUUGAGAACUCUGUGUCCUGUUGGAAAAAUAAAUGUUCUGAUGGGAAAAGUCUA